rnacentral:rRNA from 1 species
UACGUAGGGUGCGAGCGUUAAUCGGAAUUACUGGGCGUAAAGCGUGCGCAGGCGGUUCGUUGUGUCGGUGGUGAAAUCCCCGGGCUUAACCUGGGAAUGGCCAUGGAAACUGGCGAACUGGAGUGUGGCAGAGGGGGGUGGAAUUCCGCGUGUAGCAGUGAAAUUCGUAGAUAUUCGGAAGAACACCAGUGGCGAAGGCGACUUACUGGAUCAUGACUGACGCUGAGGCUCGAAAGCGUGGGGAGCAAACAGG